UGACUCUGGUUUCUCUUCAUUACGCACAAGCCUUUCGCCUUUUACUAAAGACUUCCAUGGAGAGGAACACUUAUGAGUUCAAUGUAUUUUGUGAGUGGCUUUGCUUCUUGCAGAGCCC
ensembl:snRNA U5 U5 spliceosomal RNA